UGCAAGUCAGGGGGGCGAGCAAUCGUCACCGGCGUACGGGUGCGUAACGCCCAUUUAACCUACCCUUCAGGGGCGGAUAUACAGGAGAAAUUCCGUUCAAUACGUCAUAUACUUGUGCAAUGGCAUCAUUAAACAAGGAAGGCAAUCUGAGGGAUGGGCAUGCGUCUGAUUAGCUAGUCGGCGAGGUAACGGCUCACCAAGGCGACGAUCAGUAGCUGUUCUGAGAGGAAGAUCAGCCACACUGGCACUGAGACACGGGUCAGACUCCUACGGGAGGCAGCAGUAAGGAAUAUUGGUCAAUGGGCGCAAGCCUGAACCAGCCACGCCGCGUGCAGGAAGAAGGUCCUCUGGAUUGUAAACUGCUUUUAUUCAGGGCUAAGGUGAGGCUAUAUGCCUUUGUGAAGGUACUGAAGGAAUAAGCCAGCGGCUAACUACGUGCCAGCAGCCGCGGUAAUACGUAGGUGGCAAGCGUUGUCCGGAUUUAUUGGGUUUAAAGGGUGCGUAGGCGGUUUGAAAAGUCAGUCGUUAAAGACAUCAGCUUAACUGGUGCGCGGCGAUUGAUACUGCCAGACUUGAAUUCUUGGGAGGUACAUGGAAUGCGUGGUGUAGCGGUGAAAUGCAUAGAGAUCACGCGGAACGCCGAUUGCGGAGGCAUUGUACUACUAAGAGAUUGACGCUGAGGCACGAAAGU
rnacentral:rRNA from 1 species